GUAGGGAAUAUUGGGCAAUGGUCGGAAGACUGACCCAGCCAUGCCGCGUGCAGGAAGACGGCCCUCUGGGUUGUAAACUGCUUUUAUCUGGGAAGAAAAAGGUCAUGCGUGGCAAAUUGCCGGUACCAGAUGAAUAAGCACCGGCUAACUCCGUGCCAGCAGCCGCGGUAAUACGGAGGGUGCAAGCGUUGUCCGGAUGUAUUGGGUUUAAAGGGUGCGUAGGCGGCUGAUUAAGUCAGCGGUGAAAGACUCCGGCUUAACCGGAGCAGUGCCGUUGAUACUGGUUAGCUUGAGUGUUGGAGGGGUACAUGGAAUUGAUGGUGUAGCGGUGAAAUGCAUAGAUACCAUCAGGAACACCGAUAGCGAAGGCAUUGUACUGGCCAACAACUGACGCUGAUGCACGAAAGUGUGGGGAUCGAACAGGAUUAGAUACCCGGGUAGUCC
rnacentral:rRNA from 1 species